rnacentral:rRNA from 1 species
GGGUAAUUUUCCGCAAUGGGCGCAAGCCUGACGGAGCAAUACCGCGUGAGGGAGGAAGGCUCUUGGGUCGUAAACCUCUUUUGAUAGGGAAGAAGACAGUGACGGUACCUAUCGAAUCAGCCUCGGCUAACUCCGUGCCAGCAGCCGCGGUAAUACGGAGGAGGCAAGCGUUAUCCGGAAUUAUUGGGCGUAAAGAGUCCGUAGGUGGGUAACCAAGUCAGCUGUUAAAUAGUGAAGCUUAACUUCAUAGAGGCGGCUGAAACUGGUUGUCUAGAGUGUGGUAGGGGUAGAGGGAAUUUCCAGUGUAGCGGUGAAAUGCGUAGAUAUUGGAAAGAACACCGGUGGCGAAAGCGCUCUACUGGGCCUGCACUGACACUGAGGGACGAAAGCUAGGGGAGCGAAAGGGAUUAGAUACCCCUGUAGUCCUAGCCGUAAACGAUGGAUACUAGGCGUUGCCCGUAUCGACCCGGGCAGUGUCGUAGCCAACGCGUUAAGUAUCC